CACAGACCGAGCGUUGGAGAUGUAUCUGGCAAUUUGAGGGAUCGUAGUUUUCAUGAAAACUGAAAAAGGCUUGAGUUUAUGAAAACUGCUUAACUUUUAAGUUUUCGAAACUGAGCUCGUCAUGACAAGCACAAUAGGGUCUCUCGAUGACAACAUAGUGCUUUCCUUAAAUUAUGAAGUACAAGGAGAAAUUGUCCAAUUGGCGACAUGGCUUUUGAUGAAAUAAAAAAAAAAGGUCAAUAUGUUCCGUCUUUUGGAAAUGAGGAAUAAUUGGAUACGAUUUCUUCGGCUUCAUGAGAGUGAUUAGUAAUCUAAAUUCCGAAGGAACUCCAAUAUUUUCAAGGAAACGUCUAAACUUUUGGGGGCACGGAUUAAACGAUAUUUGUUGAAGAAGCACUAAGGAAUCGCUAUGAAGAAUGCACAGACCAAAAAACUAGGCCACUUAUUUUGAAAAUUCAUUGCGAUGAGGAAAAAGAGACCUCUUAAAACCUAUGUUCUUGCUCUGAACCAUAGAGCUGUGACUUCUGUGUUUGAAGUACCGAAUACAAUGAAGGUGGAAAUUCAACAUUUCAAUCCGGAAGUUUUGCUUUCCUUUCUGAUCAAGAGGACUUGGUAAAAAUUCAAUGAACUGAUGAUUGCCUGCUUUGGUGAUAUUUAUUAAUUUUUUUAGCUUAAGUAUUUUGUGCAUUCCUGGAGUAGUUCACCAUUACCUAAAUCAAAUGAUACAAAAUGGAUAUGAAUUUGAACAUUUUAAGCACCUAAAACUGUUAUUCUUUGAGGAAUCGGAAGCUGUCGAUAAUUCUAAAAUGGUAUAUGCCAUUUUGAACGAUUCCAUUUGAAUUCAGACUUUGCACACUUUCUCAUUGCUUUAGUUAUACUUCAUGCUCUAUAACGCAUUUAUUGCAGUCAAUAUUGGGCUAAUCGCGACAAUAUGAGCGUUGCAGCAGUUGAAAAUAUUUAAAUCAUCCAUUUUUAUUAAACAUUGUUUUUUUUUCCUAGAGGUGUUAAAAGAUUUGAGAUUAUCUUUUGUUCUACUCCUGACCAUGUUGGCAUUUUAACAGAGCAAAAUAUAUUAAGCAGCAGGAUCAGCUCUUAAACCGCAGAUCUGCUACUUGGCGACUGAACACUUAUAUUCAAUCUGCAGCUGUUCUAUGUCUGCCUUGCGCAUUUUCGUAGAAUGCUUUUGCUCCAGAGUAGCGAGCAUUCUUUCAGAUGUCUCGCUAUGAUUUGAGUUAUUUGAUUUAAAAACUCCGUAUGUCAAUAUUUAUUGUUUCAUAAAAAUAUUGGUUUUUAUAAUAUAGAAAUAUUUAAGCUUUGUCAUCUGGUUUCGUUCUCUCAUCGCAAUUCUUUUAUGCAUUGGAUCUAGAUCUCCAUUUCUUCUGUUGUUAUAGUUUGAUAAAUUUUUAACGAGUUGGUCGUAGCGUAGCCAAAGGUAGCCAUUGCACCAAAAAAAAAAUGAAAAAACUCAACUGAGCAGCUCUUGUUCCUUUUGCAUGUAUCGACAAAUCCUUAAAACAUAUCCUUAAUAAAUGGCAGCAGUAGUACAUUUUUCAAACUAACGAAUUGCAACGUAUUAAGUUUGUCAUGCUUCUACUAUACGAUUAUCUGUUAAAUUAACAUAUUGUAUUUAUUCGGAUAUAUUAAACAUACUUGCUCUCUGGAGAUUCAGAAUCUGUGCACAAUCUGCAAGCAAUUCAAAUUUUUGACGAAAAUUUAAAGUUUGUAAUUUAACUAAACUCAAACUUUCAAAAGUAUUGUUUUAGACUUGAAGGACUAAGAUCUCGACUAGAUUUUUCAUGAAAUAUUUAUACCAAAUUCAAUUAAUCAGUUUUACUUUUGCUCGAUUUUAUUCAAGCCUAGAUUGUUUCCCAACUGUGCUUUAGGAAUAUUUAAGUUUUCAAUUUUCUUGGUACUGAGAAAUAUUUCACGACUGUACUUUUUACUUGGAAUCUUUUUACUUCAUUUUUCUUUUGAAUUUUUGUUUGACGUACCUUAACUGACAACUGUUAUCACUUUUCACCCAACCGGCUCAAGAACUGGUUUUGUACCUCCAAACAUCUUGGCAAAUUAAAGCAUGUGAAAUAUUUGAACAUUGCCAGAUCUUAAUUUGCAAUAUUUUUGAUUUGGAAAAUUUUGCUUGAAGAAAUUCAAGAAAUUAAGUACAAGAGUUUAAAAUGAGUUAUGAUGAAAUUUUAGAAGUGCCUAUUGUUUGUCGUACGAAUAUCAACUUGCUUUAAGGCCAACAUUUUAAUUGAGUGCAAUUUGUAGUUCCAAUACAGAACGCUAAAUUGUUUGUAUGCUAAACAGUGCAAAGCGCGCCAGAAAGGAUAGAAGAAACGCCUUUUCACUUGUUUGGAAUAGAGAAGAGCUAGAAAAGAUUCUGAUUUUGAAAUGGUUAAAAAGCUCCAUGUAUACUUUGACACUGUAUACAAAAUGUAUAUUCCAUGUUUACAAAACACCUUGCUUGCAAUUGGGUGAAAAGCCAUGAACUACGUUUUCUAAUAUAGAUUUCAAUGCUAAAUUGGUUGAAACUAAAGUGCAGCAGCACUAAGUAAAACUUCUUUGUCGGAAAACAAGCACUUCACAUCUUCCGGUAAAUUUCAGCAAUAUAAUAUACCAAAAUGGUUAUAUAAUCACUGUUAUCUGGAUAUUUUAAUGAAAUACCUGCUUAUUUGUUCGCGCUGACAGCUGGUCCAGAGAGUGUAAGAUCGUGAUUUGUAUGGAAGGAUCUGAAGACUUAAAAGCGGUUUCAAUGCAAAUACAAACAUUGUACAAGUACUGAAUGACACAUAAUAAAAAAAUCAGUAUCGUAAAAUAUAAAUUCUUAACAUAUUUAAAAAGCUAUGCAAAUACGAGACCAAAUAGAAAUUUUCGCAAAAAAAAAAAAAUUAAA